AUUGAACGCUGGCGGCAGGCUUAACACAUGCAAGUCGAGCGGGGGAAGGUAGCUUGCUACCGGACCUAGCGGCGGACGGGUGAGUAAUGCUUAGGAAUCUGCCUAUUAGUGGGGGACAACAUCUCGAAAGGGAUGCUAAUACCGCAUACGUCCUACGGGAGAAAGCAGGGGAUCUUCGGACCUUGCGCUAAUAGAUGAGCCUAAGUCGGAUUAGCUAGUUGGUGGGGUAAAGGCCUACCAAGGCGACGAUCUGUAGGGGGUCUGAGAGGAUGAUCCGCCACACUGGGACUGAAACACGGCCCAGACUCCUACGGGAGGCAGCAGUGGGGAAUAUUGGACAAUGGGGGGAACCCUGAUCCAGCCAUGCCGCGUGUGUGAAGAAGGCCUUAUGGUCGUAAAGCACUUUAAGCGAGGAGGAGGCUACUUUAGUUAAUACCUAGAGAUAGUGGACGUUACUCGCAGAAUAAGCACCGGCUAACUCUGUGCCAGCAGCCGCGGUAA
rnacentral:rRNA from 1 species